rnacentral:lncRNA from 1 species
UGGCGCCGUGGGAAAGCGCGCUGGUUUCUGCCAAAUGCAGUUAGCUUUGCUUCGCUUCCCUAAGUGCGUUCCCCCAGGGGCCCGGCAGUGUGCUAGGGGCACCCUGCUUCGUAAGUGAGGCAGACAGCCCGUGAUAAAUGCCAAAGUAGAAGCCCCUCCGAAAAAUUAAGGAGCCGAUUGGGCGGGACUAACCCUAAGGGAGGGCAGGGGAAGCGACCGUCACCUCCGGGCGCCGGGGACUCGGAACGCCGGGUCGGAGCUCGGCAGGCGGAGACACUAUCUGUUCUGUUGCAAUGCAAAAGGAUGAAAGUAACAGUGGCUGCUGCUUAUGGGGCUUGAUAGUUACUAUGUAGCUGCAUGUAUUAAUUCAAGCCUCACUGUGAGCUUACCAUGUUUUACCAGUGACCUUUUGAAUCUUCACCAGAACACUACAAGAGACGGGGUCUCACCACAUUGUCCAGGCUGAUCUCGAACUCCUGACUUCAAGCGAUCUCACCUCGGCCUCCCAAAGUGCUGGGAUUACAGGCAUAAGCCACCGUGCCUGGCCAAUUAUAGUCUCGCUCUUGUCGCCUAGGCUGGAGUGCAGUGGCACGAUCUCGGCUCACUGUAACCUCCGCCUCCCAGGUUCAAGCAGUUCUCCUGCCUCAGCCUCUGGAGUAGCUGGGAUUACAGACACCUACCACCAUGCCCGCUAAUUUUUGUAUUUUUAGUAGAGACGGGGUUUCGCCAUGUUGGCCAGGCUGGUCUCCAACUCCUGACCUCAGGUGAUCUGCCCGCCUCAGCCUCCCAAAGUGCUGGGAUUACAGGCAUGAGCCACCACGCCUGGUCAGCAAACUUUUUCUGAUAGUAAAUAUUUUAGGCUUUGCAGAUGACAUACAGUGUCUGUUGCGACUACUCAACUCUGCUGUUGCAGGAUGAAAGCUGCAGGACAAUAUGUAAAUGAACGGUGUGGCUGGGUUCCAAGAAAACUUUAGUUACAGAUACUAAAAUUUAAAUUCAAUAGAAUUGUCAUGUGUCCCAAAAUAUUCUUUUGAUUUUUUUCAACCAUUCAAAAAUACAGAAACCAUUCUUAGCUCUCAGGCUGUACAAAAACACGCAGUGGCCAGGUUUGGUCCAUAGGCUGUAAUUUGCUGAGCCUAGGCCUAGAUAAUUAUGUCAAGACUCUCCUCUCCCUCCUCAAACCUGCAACCCUUCUUCCUCCAUUCUCACACUCAGUUGAGGACCUGGCUUCCUAGUCACUGAGAAAAUUUAAGCAAUCACAAGAGAACUCCCACAGCCCAUCCACACAUGCUAUCUGCCAACACCUCCACGUGACUAUUCCCCCAUCCCUCUGUUACUGUGAAUGAAACGUUUGAACUAUGUCCGGCCUGUCUGCUCGCUUGUGCCCUAGAUCCAAACCUCUCUCGCCCAUUCAACAACCCUGCUCUGACUAGUCUUCCCUUUCUGUCCUUGCUGUUCACUGCAUUAUUCCCAUCAACAUACAAAUAAAUAUGCUGUCAUCUUAAAAAAGCUGCUUUUUACUCCAACUCCCUUGCCAGCUACUUCUUCUUCUCCUUCCCUUUACAACAAAACCCUGGUAAAGAUUUGUCUUCAUUCACUGUUUCCAACUUCUCUCCCAUUCUUUAAGUGAGAUACAAUUCACGUAAUAUGAAAAUCACCGUUUUUUUAUUUUAUUUUAUUUUUGAGACAGAGUCUUGCUCUGUCAGGCUGGAGUGCAAUGGCGUGAUCUCAGCUCACUGCAACCUCGGCCUCCCGAGUUCA